UACGUAGGGUGCGAGCGUUAAUCGGAAUUACUGGGCGUAAAGCGUGCGCAGGCGGCGGCUCAAGUCAGGUGUGAAAUCCCCGGGCUUAACCUGGGAAUUGCGCUUGAAACUAGGCUGCUUGAGUGUGGCAGAGGGGGGUGGAAUUCCACGUGUAGCAGUGAAAUGCGUAGAGAUGUGGAGGAACACCGAUGGCGAAGGCAGCCCCCUGGGUCAACACUGACGCUCAGGCACGAAAGCGUGGGGAGCAAACAGGAUUAGAAACCCUGGUAGUCC
rnacentral:rRNA from 1 species